UACAGAGGGUGCAAGCGUUGUUCGGAAUUAUUGGGCGUAAAGGGCGCGUAGGCGGUUCGGCAAGUCUCUAGUGAAAUCUCUGGGCUCAACUCAGAGUCUGCUGGGGAAACUGCCGGGCUUGAGUGUGGGAGAGGAGAGUGGAAUUUACGGUGUAGCGGUGAAAUGCGUAGAUAUCGUAAGGAAGACCAGUGGCGAAGGCGGGUCUCCGGACAGUUCCUGACGCUGAGGCACGAAGGCCAGGGGAGCAAACGGG
rnacentral:rRNA from 1 species